UGCCUUUUGUGCUGACCCACGGAUCAGAUUACGACCUCCCUCAAUACGUUAGGGCCUCCGGCGGCUGCGCGUUGCCCCGGCGACUCCGGGUCCGGGAUGGAAGAUGUGGGGCUUGAGUUCUUGUUGGAUGCCGUCGACUGGUUCCCACUAUGGGAGGAAUUCACCGACAGCCUUGAACAUCCAGGUCCGCUCCCUCUGGCAUAGUUAACGCCAGGUCAAGCCAACCCUGGCGUGCCGGCGGAUUCAAAUGCCGGUUCUGGAUGGGGCAGCAAGUUUGGUGGCGUUGGCCCGGAGAAGGCAGAGGGCGGCAUGCGCCAGCAACGGGAGGCAUCUCCCACUGGGUCUGCGCAGUCAACUGACAGGGUCAACCCAGAGGCGCCCGGAUGGACAAAGAGUUCAUGUUCCCAGUGCUCUUCAUGGAUGUAGGACCCAGAUAAGCUCAGCGCCUAGUCGUCGUUAGUUUUCCGUUAGAAAAAUUGCAGGCAUGCGGGUCCGAUGUGACAGCCCAUGGACAUGUAUUGAAUUUGUAAUUCGAGACCUAAGCAGACUAAGUAAAUGUGUGGUUCUAUGGGCAGAUUACCGUCUAUCUGAAUUCGGAAUAUUAUAGUUAGUGUUGGUAAUUCGGUCUCUUGCUUUAGGUAACCAACUUGCGUGCCUGUGUUUAAGGGACAAAAAUCCCUGACUGAAUUUGAGAGUUUCAUUGCUGUGGGUGACAGAAAUUAGGCCAUUUCUUUGCAGCAAUUACCACGCAUGUUUGGCGCAAACUUUGAUGAGUUGUCUGAAUUUGCAGUGUUAUAACCAGUGGUGAUUUGGUGUCUUGCUUUAGAUAAUCCGAUUUGUGUUUAUUGGGCUAUUCCUGUGCAGCAAAGUGUUGUGAGUUUUUGUCAAAAACUAUGAUGAGCUAUCUGAAUUCCCAAUGUUACUACUAGUGGUGCUGAUGGGGUCUCAACUUUAUGUAAGCGACUUGUGUAUAAGGGACAGAAAUCGGUCACUGAAUUUUGAAGUACCACUGCGACGGGGAUAAGUUUGUGUAGGUUUUGGGUGUCGGAGACGACCGGCGUGAGACGGAUCAGCCGGCAAGCUAAAUGACUGGGUCGUGACCGCAAAAGCUGUUCCGCCUCUACCCAGCUGUCGUCUCAUUUAAUGCGCCCACAAGCUGGCUUUAUUUGCCUACAAUACCUCUGCUAUACAGGCAGAAAAACAUCAACCAGCACAGAUCCACAUGUUAGCGAAUGGUGAUGAUUUCAGGAGCAUCUGAGCCUGGGCUCCGAAUUGAAUAUCCGAUGGAAAGUGACCUACUUUGCUCAAGUUAGCUCAUGCACAUCCAUCGGAUCUAAUGGAGAAAAUGAUGCAUGAAUAUAGAGGAUGAUUGUCUUGUUUGAUGUGCUAAUGUGCUGAAGCAAUUCAACAGAUGAAGGAAUGGCUGCUGCAGUUCUCACCGAGUUUGUUCCAUUGCAUCAAUAUGGCCAGCACUAUUUAUAUGUUGUCUGAAAAGAAAAAACUUCUCAUGCUAGUCUAGCCCAGUUUCUACUGUAGGAAGAUGCUUCUGAAUACCUAAUCCAGGGAAUUUCAGCUUAUCCUAGUGUUAUUUGAAGUCAAAUUUCUUUUCCAGUGUUGUUUGAAAUCAAAUUUCUUUCUUCAUAUGCUUGUGCUUGAAAGUUCUUCUCUUCGGCAAUGUGUGUUUCAGACCCAAGUAUCACCUCAACUUAUAUGUUAGUGAGUUUCUGUAUUCUUCUCGGUUGUUGUAUGAAAAGGCUGUCAUUAAACUCGAUGUAUUGUGUGGCAUUGGGAGUUUCAGCCAUAAGUAUGACCUAUACUUAUAUUUUUGUGUUUUCUUUUCAGCUGUGGUUUGAAAAGCAUGUCAUUGCUGUCGAUCUAAAGUGACCAUGAUCCACUUAUGCUCUGUUUAUUCUCGAGAUUAAUAGCAGGAAAUUAUUGUGGGCAAGUUUGG